GGAGGGGAAGGAACGGCGCAGAUUAACCCCCUAUUGAAGAAUGGGAAGGUUGGAGGGGCAAUGAUAAUCCGCCACGUGGCAGAAUAGAAGUCCCAAAUAGUAAGAUUGUAUAGAUUUUAGAUAAAACAACAUGUGGAAAACUGAACCUAAAGUGUAAACAUACAUCGACUGUCCUUAGUGCAAGUAGCAAAGAACUUGGUGGUAAGCAUCUGAGGUCUCAAAUUCGAUGUCUAAGUUGCUUUAUACUUCCAGCUAAAUUUAUUUUUUAAAAAAUAAACGAAACGAACAGCAUGCUGCCCUCUUCUUAGAACAUAUAUAAACAUAUCAAUUUUCUUUGUAAACAAAAUU
rnacentral:lncRNA from 1 species